GACGAACGCUGGCGGCGUGCCUAAUACAUGCAAGUAGAACGCUGAAGGAGGAGCUUGCUCUUCUGGAUGAGUUGCGAACGGGUGAGUAACGCGUAGGUAACCUGCCUGGUAGCGGGGGAUAACUAUUGGAAACGAUAGCUAAUACCGCAUAAGAGUAGAUGUUGCAUGACAUUUGCUUAAAAGGUGCAAUUGCAUCACUACCAGAUGGACCUGCGUUGUAUUAGCUAGUUGGUGGGGUAACGGCUCACCAAGGCGACGAUACAUAGCCGACCUGAGAGGGUGAUCGGCCACACUGAGACUGAGACACGGCCCAGACGCCUACGGGAGGCAGCAGUAGGGAAGCUUCGGCAAUGGACGGAAGUCUGACCGAGCAACGCCGCGUGAGUGAAGAAGGUUGUCGGAUCGUAAAGCUCUGUUGUAAGAGAAGAACGAGUGUGAGAGUGGAAAGUUCACACUGUGACGGUAUCUUACCAGAAAGGGACGGCUAACUACGUG
rnacentral:rRNA from 1 species